rnacentral:rRNA from 1 species
GCGAAAGAAGAUAAGAGCGAACGGAGGAUGCCUAGGCUAUCCGGAGGCGAGGAAGGUCGUGGUAAGCUGCGAUAAGGCUCGGGGAUCUGCAAACAGGAAUUGAUCCGAGCAUCACCGAAUGGGGGAACCCGGCUGGUUGAAGACCAGUCACCGUAUGUGAAUACGGAGCGAACCCGGGGAACUGAAACAUCUUAGUACCCGGAGGAAGAGAAAGAAAAGUCGAUACCCUGAGUAGUGGCGAGCGAAAGGGGCAGAGCCUAAACCGUGGUGUUUACGGACAUCGCGGGGUUGUAGGAGUAACGAUAAAGAUAUGCUAAUGAACCAGAACGCUGUGGAAACAGUGACCGUAGAGGGUGACAGUCCCGUACGGGCAAGUUGAGCAUAUUGAAGUUACCACCUGAGUAGGGCGGGGCACGUGGAAUCCUGUCCGAAUCUGCGGGGACCAUCCCGCAAGGCUAAACACU